rnacentral:rRNA from 1 species
GGACUGAGACACGGCCCAGACUCCUACGGGAGGCAGCAGUCGGGAAUUUUGCUCAAUGGGCGAAAGCCUGAAGCAGCAACGCCGCGUGAGGGAUGAAGGCCUUCGGGUUGUAAACCUCUUUUCCCAGGGACGAUAAUGACGGUACCUGGGGAAUAAGCCACGGCUAACUACGUGCCAGCAGCCGCGGUAAUACGUAGGUGGCAAGCGUUGUCCGGAUUUACUGGGCGUAAAGAGCGCGCAGGCGGCCGAGUCAGUCGAAUGUGAAAGCCCCCGGCUCAACUGGGGAGGGUCAUUCGAUACUGCUCGGCUUGAAGAUGGGAGAGGGAAGCGGAAUUUCAGGUGUAGUGGUGAAAUGCGUAGAUAUCUGAAGGAACACCAGUGGCGAAGGCGGCCUUCUGGCCCAUUCUUGACGCUGAGGCGCGAAAGCUAGGGGAGCAAACGGGAUUAGAUACCCCGGUAGUCCUAGCCGUAAACGAUGAACACUAGAUGUUGGUGGUAUCAACCCCGCCAGUGUCGUAGCUAACGCAUUAAGUGUUCCGCCUGGGGAGUACGGCCGCAAGGCUAAAACUCAAAGGAAUUGACGGGGGCCCGCACAAGCAGCGGAGCGUGGGGUUUAAUUCGAUGCAACGCGAAGAACCUUACCAGGGCUUGACAUGACCAGGAAUCCGGCGGAAACGUCGGCGCCCCGCAAGGGGCCUGGCCACAGGUGUUGCAUGGCUGUCGUCAGCUCGUGUCGUGAGAUGUUGGGUAAGUCCCGCAACGAGCGCAACCCCUACUGUGUGUUGUAUCACUCACACGGGACUGCCGAGAGAAACUCGGAGGAAGGUGGGGAUGACGUCAAGUCAGCAUGGCCCUUACGUCCUGGGCUACACCCACGCUACAAUGGCCGGUACAACGGGCUGCGAAACCGCGAGGUGGAGCUAAUCCCUUAAAGCCGGUCUCAGUUCGGAUCGUAGGCCGCAACUCGCCUGCGUGAAGCCGGAGUUGCUAGUAACCGCGGGUCAGCAUACCGCGGUGAAUAUGUUCCCGGGCCUUGUACACACCGCCCGUCACGUCAUGGAAGCCGACAACACCCGAAGCCAGUGAGCCAACCGCAAGGGGGCAGCUGUCGAAGGUGGGGUUGGUGACUGGGACGAAGUCGUAACAAGGUAGCCGUACCGGAAGGUACGGCUG